AAAUCAUAAAUUUUAGCUAAACACAUUGCCAUCUCCUAUUUAGGGAGAGAGGAGGUUGAAUGGGCAACUAGCUGCCAUAGAUAAUUAAAAUUGUUAUAGCUUGUAACCAGAAAACAAAGAAAUUGGAUACAUUUAAAGGUAUAAGUCUAAAUUUGGAAGGCACUUUGUCCACAAAAAUAAAUACUAUAAAAAUGCUAUUAAAAGUAAAUAUGUAAAAUCACAUGACUAUGGAAGCUAAGAAGCCUCACUCUGCUGUCUGCAAGCUGCUGAAGGCCCAGAAAAGCCAAUGUUGUGGGUCGUCCAAGUCCAAAGACCUGAGAAACAGAGGAGCCAGUGGUGUAAGUCUCAGUCCAAGUCUCAAAGUUCGAGAACCAGGACAACUGAUACCCAAGUACAAGAGAAGAUGGAUAUUCCUGCUCAAAAAGAGAAAGUUAAUUUGUCAUUUCAUUGCCUUUGUGUUUUAUUCAGCCCUCAACAAAUUGGAUGGUGUCCACAUACACUGGUGAAGGUCAUCGUUGAUCAGUCUACCCCUGCAAAUGCUCUGCUUUCCCAGAAACACCCGCAAGAACACACCCAGAAACCAUGCUUUACUAGUUUUCUGUGCAUCUCUUAAUCCAGUCUAGCUGACACAUAACAUUAGCCAUCACACUAGGACUUGACAUAUUUUCAAUAAACGCACAUCGUGUAUAUUAUAUAGAAAUUUCCAACUACACAACUUGUCCUAUGGGAGGCAUCCUCCCAAGGGUCACUUGUACAUGGUCCCCAUGACAUGGACCCAGGCCAAGGAGGAUUUAAUCAGGGGAGAAAGAAUGAAUGAGGAGAGAACUGGUAGAAGUAUGGAAUAAUUUACCUUCUUUUGACCACAGUGGGGAGGUAGAAAUUUGGCUGCACCACAGGCUCUGAAGUCAGAUGCCUGGUUUGAAUUUCAGUGCCAUCACUUAUUGGCUUUGUGAUGUUGAACCGAUUGAUCUAGAGUUUCUGUCCUUCAGUUUCUUCAUCUAUAGAUUGGAAAUAAUUACAAUACUAAUCCUAACUGAUUGAGUUGUUACGCAGAGUUCUCAAACCAGUGUCUGGUAUAAUAUGAGCACUAAAAACACUCCACAUUAGCUCUUUGAAUUAUUAUGAAUUAGAGUUAGAUGUCAGUCAGGAAAACAGAGUCACUAAAAUACUAUGGUAAUAAGAGGCUCGCUAUAGCAAUUACAGCACAAACAAAUGUAGGAAGAGUUGGGGAAGUGAAGGUCUGGAAGAUGGAGAUGGAGAAUCAGAAUAAGUCACUAACCAUAAUGGUCAGAAGGAAUGUUAUCUAGUGCUUGGUUUUGGCAUUGGAGCUGUUUGUUGGUGGGGCCAGGAGUUGGAAUCUAGAAGCUGAGGCCUGCUAGGCACAGCUGCAUUGGUCUGUCACUAUGUUGGCCGACAUGGCCUUCUGAGAGUAAUGCUUUCUGGUCACUUCCAUUCUC
rnacentral:lncRNA from 1 species